rnacentral:rRNA from 1 species
ACGGAGGGUGCAAGCGUUAUCCGGAUUCACUGGGUUUAAAGGGUGCGUAGGUGGCUUUGUAAGUCAGUGGUGAAAUGCCGCAGCUCAACUGCGGAACUGCCAUUGAUACUGCUUAGCUUGAAUCACGUCGAGGUGGAUGGAAUAUUACAUGUAGCGGUGAAAUGCUUAGAUAUGUAAUAGAACACCGAUUGCGAAGGCAGUUCACUAGGCGUGUAUUGACACUGAGGCACGAAAGCGUGGGGAUCAAACAGGA